AGUUGUAAACCUAGCCCAAAUAAUUACUAAAUACCAUUUUAAUAAAAACUAAACCAUUCUACUAUUUAGUACAGGAGAUAAAAAAAUGAAAAAGCGCAAUAGAAAAAGUACUGUAAAGGAAAAUUGAAAUAGAAAUUAAAUAAAUUAUAAAAACUAAAAAAAGCAAAGAUAUCACCUUUUACCUUUCGCAUUAUGGUCUAGCAAGUCUAAUAUAACAAAAAGAAUUUAAGUUAUUUUUCCCGAAACCAGACGAGCUACUCUGGGGCAGCAACAAGAGCCAACCCUUCUCUGUGGCAAAAGAGUGGGACGACUUCUGAGUAGCGAUGACAAGUCAAACGAGCCUGGUGAUAGCUGGUUACUUAAUAAAUGAAUAUAAGUUCAAAUUAAAGCACUCUAAUCAUAAAAGAAAAAAUAGCACUUUAAAAAUAAUUAACAGGGGUACAGCCCUCUUAAUAAAGGAUACAACCUAAAUAAAUGAAUAAUAUAUAUAAAGAAAUUAAUUAUGUAGGCUUAAAAACAGCCACCUUACUAAAAAGCGUCAAAGCUUAAUUUAAUAUAACCUUAUAAUCUCAUAAAACAUAAAUUCACAUAACCUAUUAAGUCAAUCUAUUAAUAGAUAAGUUAAUACUAGAAUGAGUAAUAAGAAAAAAUUCUCUAAAUAUACAUGUAAAUUAGAACGAAAAACCACUAAUAAUUAACGAACUAAAUAAAAAGAAAUACAAUUACCACAAGAAAAAUAUGUUAUUAAAAUCGUUAAACCAACACAGGAAUAUAAAAGAAAGAUUUAAAAUAUAAAAAGGAACUCGGCAAUCAUGAACUUCGCCUGUUUACCAAAAACAUCGCCUCUUGAUUUUAAUAAGAGGUACUGCCUGCCCAGUGACAUCAGUUUAACGGCCGCGGUAUUAUGACCGUGCAAAGGUAGCGUAAUCACUUGUCUUUUAAAUAAAGACCUGUAUGAAUGGCAAAACGAAAGCUCAACUGUCUCUUUUAAUUAAUCAAUGAAAUUGAUCUUUCCGUGCAGAAGCGGAAAUAAUUUUAUAAGACGAGAAGACCCUAUGGAGCUUUAAACAAAUAUUAAUUAUUUAUAAAAUAAAAGUAAUAAGAGUUUUAGGUUGGGGCGACCGUGGAGGAAAAACCAACCUCCAAGAUAAAUAUUAGAAAUACACAUCAAAAUAAUAAAAAUUUAACAUAUUUGAUCCAAUAAUUGAUCAACGAACCAAGUUACCCUAGGGAUAACAGCGCAAUCUUCUCAAAGAGUCCUUAUCGACGAGUAGGUUUACGACCUCGAUGUUGGAUCAGGACACCCAAAUGGUGUAACCGUUAUUUAAGGUUCGUUUGUUCAACGAUUAAAGUCCUACGUGAUCUGAGUUCAGACCGGAGUAAUCCAGGUCAGUUUCUAUCUAUAAUUUAACUUCCUCCAGUACGAAAGGACCGAGAAAGAAGAGCCUAUUAUAAAUUAAAGCUCUACCACCCACUGCUGAAAACAACUCAAACAGUAAGUGGUAAACAAUUAAAAGCUAAGAUAAGGCUU
rnacentral:rRNA from 1 species